GGCAACAGCUCAAAUUUGAAAUCUGGCGUCUUUGGCGUCCGAGUUGUAAUUUGCAGAGGGCGCUUUGGCAUUGGCAGCGGUCCAAGUUCCUUGGAACAGGACGUCACAGAGGGUGAGAAUCCCGUACGUGGUCGCUAGCCUUUACCGUGUAAAGCCCCUUCGACGAGUCGAGUUGUUUGGGAAUGCAGCUCUAAAUGGGAGGUAAAUUUCUUCUAAAGCUAAAUACUGGCCAGAGACCGAUAGCGCACAAGUAGAGUGAUCGAAAGAUGAAAAGCACUUUGGAAAGAGAGUUAAAAAGCACGUGAAAUUGUUGAAAGGGAAGCGCUUGCAGCCAGACUUGCCUGUAGUUGCUCAUCCGGGUUUUUACCCGGUGCACUCUUCUAUAGGCAGGCCAGCAUCAGUUUGGGCGGUUGGAUAAAGGUCUCUGUCAUGUACCUCUCUUCGGGGAGAACUUAUAGGGGAGACGACAUGCAACCAGCCUGGACUGAGGUCCGCGCAUCUGCUAGGAUGCUGGCGUAAUGGCUGUAAGCGGCCCGUCUUGAAACACGGACCAAGGAGUCUAACAUCUAUGCGAGUGUUUGGGUGUCAAGCCCGAGCGCGUAAUGAAAGUGAACGGAGGUGGGAACCUUUCGGGGUGCACCAUCGACCGAUCCUGAUGUCUUCGGAUGGAUUUGAGUAAGAGCAUAGCUGUUGGGACCCGAAAGAUGGUGAACUAUGCUUGAAUAGGGUGAAGCCAGAGGAAACUCUGGUGGAGGCUCGCAGCGGUUCUGACGUGCAAAUCGAUCGUCAAAUUUGGGCAUAGGGGCGAAAGACUAAUCGAACUAUCUAGU
rnacentral:rRNA from 1 species